GGAAAGUCUUCUUCACGCUGGACAAAUAGCAAAAGCUUUCAUCCAUUCCAUGACAGUAAGUUUGUCUCUGGACCUUGGUUUCCAGCACAAUAACAGGGACUCUGCUCCUACUCACUUCUCCUGUCUACACUGCACAGGGUUCCACAUUCUUAAAGUCUGUCUUCUAGAUCAUUAUCCCUAAUGAACUUAUUUGACAGGGCAUUUAAUACAGAUAAAGACAGAGAUGCAUGAUGAAGAGGAGGUUGGGCUUAUAUAAGUAACUUAAAUUCUGAAGUAGAGAUAUCUCAUCUCAUAAAUGAAAAUGCAUGAGCAAUAUAAAUAGCAAGUCUGAGUAUUUUUUAUAGAUGACUAUGUCUCCUAUCACAGAAGGACAAUGGUAAGACACAAACUUGAAAUCGAGGUACUAUACUUGUUAAUAUACAACAGCCUGUCUCCUAUGUGUUCUAAUUCAGCAACCAUUGGCCCACCAACCGUGGCUCUCUCUAGCUCAUCCAACUCCAUCUCAGUAACCAUAAGUGUUCCAUGGAUUCUACAACACAGCAAGUGUAUGUCCGAGGAAAACAAGAAGAAAACCCGCUUCCUUGUUAAUGUGUCAGACGUUUCAGAGGU